GACGAACGCUGGCGGCGUGCUUAACACAUGCAAGUCGAACGGAAAGGCCCUGCUUUUGUGGGGUGCUCGAGUGGCGAACGGGUGAGUAACACGUGAGUAACCUGCCCUUGACUUUGGGAUAACUUCAGGAAACUGGGGCUAAUACCGGAUAGGAGCUCCUGCUGCAUGGUGGGGGUUGGAACGUUUCGGCGGUUGGGGAUGGACUCGCGGCUUAUCAGCUUGUUGGUGGGGUAGUGGCUUACCAAGGCUUUGACGGGUAGCCGGCCUGAGAGGGUGACCGGCCACAUUGGGACUGAGAUACGGCCCAGACUGCUACGGGGGGCAGCAGUGGGGAAUAUUGCACAAUGGGCGGAAGCCUGAUGCAGCAACGCCGCGGGCGGGAUGACGGCCUGCGGGUUGUAAACCGCUUUCGCCUGUGACGAAGCGUGAGUGACGGUAAUGGGUAAAGAAGCACCGGCUAACUACGUG
rnacentral:rRNA from 1 species